AGUCGAGCGGCUCGUGGGAGCUUGCUCCCUGAUUCAGCGGCGGACGGGUGAGUAACACUUGGGUAACCUGCCUGUAAGACUGGGAUAACUCCGGGAAACCGGGGCUAAUACCGGAUAACACCUACCCCCGCAUGGGGGAAGGUUGAAAGGUGGCUUCUGCUAUCGCUUACAGAUGGACCCGCGGCGCAUUAGCUAGUGGGUGAGGUAAUGGCUCACCAAGGCGACGAUGCGUAGCCGACCUGAGAGGGUGAUCAGCCACACUGGGACUGAAACCCGGCCCAAACUCCUACGGGAGGCAUCAGUAGGGAAUCUUCCACAAUGGACCAAAGUCUGACCGAGCACCGCCGCGUGAUUGAAGAAGGUUUUCGGAUCAUAAAACUCUGUUGUUAGGGAAGAACAAGUGCCGUUCGAAUGAGGCGGCGCCUUGACGGUACCUAACCAUACUGCCACGGCUAACUACGUGCCAGCAGCCGCGGUAAUACGUAGGUGGCAAGCGUUGUCCGGAAUUAUUGGGCGUAAAGCGCGCGCAUGUGGUUUCUUAAAUCUGAUGUGAAAGCCCACGGCUCAACCGUGAAGUGUCAUUGUAAACUGGGGAACUUGAGUGCAGAA
rnacentral:rRNA from 1 species